GGCGGUUGAAAGUAAGAGUGAGUCGUUCCCUUCCUUGAGCACUUGUGGAAUCCAUCAAGCAUUUGUGAAGUUUUUAUUACUCUUGGAGGUGAAUCCUCCUAGAUGGCUAUCUAGGAGUUGCUCGGCGAGCUCCCAAGUUUUUAAUGAGUAGUAGAAAGAUUGUGAAGGCAUCGAUCUCGCCUCUGCAAGGGAAUAGAUCAAGAUAGUGAAGUGAGGGUUGAAAGAGGCCCAUCUCAAGUGCUACCAAGCCCCUCAAUUUAAUGUUAUAGUUAUUUUGCAGUGGCUAGUUGAAGUUCUUCUCUCCCCUGAAAGACUGCCUAAGAAGUGUUCAUCAUCAACUUUACGGUGCAAGCCAUCCUCAUGUUUGGCGUGGCCACUGUCCAAGGUAUCAUCCUUAUAUCAAGAUAGUAGAAAAUGUUUGAUAAGUCUAUAGCCCUUAGUGGC
rnacentral:lncRNA from 1 species